rnacentral:rRNA from 1 species
UUACCCACUCCCGGCACGGGGAGGUAGUGACGAAAAAUUACGAUACGGGACUCAUCCGAGGCCCCGUAAUCGGAAUGAGUACACUCUAAACCCUUUAACGAGGAUCAAUUGGAGGGCAAGUCUGGUGCCAGCAGCCGCGGUAAUUCCAGCUCCAAUAGCGUAUAUUAAAGUUGUUGCGGUUAAAAAGCUCGUAGUCGAAUUUGUGUCUCGCGCCGCUGGUUCAUCGUCCGCGGUGUUAACUGGCGAGUCGCGAGACGUCCUGCCGGUGGGCUUAGCUCGCAAGGGCGGCCCGACUCAAUCCUGCCGCGGUGCUCUUCAUUGAGUGUCGAGGUGGGCCGGCACGUUUACUUUGAACAAAUUAGAGUGCUUAAAGCAGGCUAAAACUUCGCCUGAAUACUGUGUGCAUGGAAUAAUGGAAUAGGACCUCGGUUCUAUUUUGUUGGUUUUCGGAACUCCGAGGUAAUGAUUAAUAGGAACGGAUGGGGGCAUUCGUAUUGCGACGUUAGAGGUGAAAUUCUUGGAUCGUCGCAAGNNGGACAGAAGCGAAAGCAUUUGCCAAAAACGCUUUCAUUGAUCAAGAACGAAAGUUAGAGGUUCGAAGGCGAUCAGAUACCGCCCUAGUUCUAACUAUAAACGAUGCCAGCUAGCGAUCCGUCGACGUUCCUCCGAUGACUCGACGGGCAGCUUCCGGGAAACCAAAGCUUUUGGGUUCCGGGGGAAGUAUGGUUGCAAAGCUGAAACUUAAAGGAAUUGACGGAAGGGCACCACCAGGAGUGGAGCCUGCGGCUUAAUUUGACUCAACACGGGAAACCUCACCAGGCCCGGACACCGGAAGGAUUGACAGAUUGAGAGCUCUUUCUUGAUUCGGUGGGUGGUGGUGCAUGGCCGUUCUUAGUUGGUGGAGCGAUUUGUCUGGUUAAUUCCGAUAACGAACGAGACUCUAGCCUGCUAACUAGGCGUAUUCGAGAUCCUAAAGGCCCGCCGGCUCGGGG